rnacentral:rRNA from 1 species
AUUGAACGCUGGCGGCAUGCUUUACACAUGCAAGUCGAACGGCAGCGCGGGGGCAACCCUGGCGGCGAGUGGCGAACGGGUGAGUAAUGCAUCGGAACGUAUCCUGUAAUGGGGGAUAACGUAGCGAAAGUUACGCUAAUACCGCAUACGCUCGAGAGAGGAAAGUGGGGGAUCGCAAGACCUCACGUUAUAGGAGCGGCCGAUGUCCGAUUAGCUAGUUGGUGGGGUAAAGGCCUACCAAGGCGACGAUCGGUAGCUGGUCUGAGAGGAUGAUCAGCCACACUGGGACUGAGACACGGCCCAGACUCCUACGGGAGGCAGCAGUGGGGAAUUUUGGACAAUGGGCGAAAGCCUGAUCCAGCCAUGCCGCGUGCGGGAAGAAGGCC